GUCAUCCCUCAUUCUUGCUCCAAAAGCCACAAAGCCUUAAAGGUUGGAACAGAUACAACUACGAGCCACAAAAAGUAAAAAAAAUAAUCUUCUUACUCAUCAAUCUUAAUCGCGUUCUGAUUCCUAGAUAACACAUGCAUCACAACAAGAAAGGGGCAUUGAACCAGCAGAGAUUUUGCUUCAGCUGAAAUUCCUAUUCAGCCUAGCUGGGAUUACACUGAGGCAGAGCUGAACUGGAACUGAAAAGUAGAUGAAGAAAGAAAUAAUGGUGUAAUUCUGUGGCUAACGUGGUUCACAGGACAAAAAAAAUAUUUUUUUCUCUAUUAAUUUGUAGCUGACUGCUCCACAUGACAAAGUCCGUACUCACCAAUCCAGAGGUCAUGGGCUGGCAGAAGACUGUCAUUUGUCUAACUUUAAAAGGCAGAAAUGUGUUUUAGCUGCAUGGUUCUGUCAGCAAGACCGCACGACUCCCUCCCUCCUCCUCCAGCUGAACACAGAUGUUGCAGAAAAAUGACUGGUUUAGAUGUUACUGAAGAUACGAGCUCCAGUGUUGCCUAAUGAGAAUUACAGGGUGUAGAAAGAGAGGUGACGUGGCACACAGAGGUGACAGCAUUGGCUGAGGGCCAUGGGUCCAGAGGGUUUUGAAUGCUCCUGUCACUGUCAGACUCAAACAUCUGCAAGGUUCAGAAAAAUCAGCAUCAAAAUAUUGUUGGUCCAAAGUCACGCAAACUGCCAGUGUCUGCAUGAAUGUGCUAAUUAGGCAGGCCAAUGUAUACGUAACUUCACCCAGCACUUGUGAGGCUACACCUGGAAUUUAAUGUCUACUUUUGGCCUUCCAGCUGAAGACACUGAAAGACACUGAAAGAUGCUGAAAGACUGGAAGAGGGUCCAUUGGAGGGCCACCAAGUUUAGAGGACUAGAAAAGCUGGCAUAUGAAGAAAGGCUAAAGGAAAUGGCUUUCCUCAGCCUAGAGAAGAAAAAGGUUCAGGACGGAUCUAGUUAGUGUCUUUAACAUCCAAAGAAUGUAGUUGUAGAGAAGAUGGAGAUACUCUUUUCAAAAAGUAGGGCCAUGGGCACAAGUUGACUUUAGGGGAAAUGCCUUCUGGAUAUAAGAAAAAAUGAAUUCUUCAGCCAGAGAACCUAUUAAGCAUUGCAGUAGGCUUCUGAGAAGUGGUGGGACAUUUCUUGAUGGAAAUAUUCAAGACUUUGCUUGAUAAUGCCCUGGAUAACCUAAUCUAAGGUGCUGCUUUCAAUCACAGUUUGGACCACAUGAUCUCCAGAGGUACCAUCUAACCCAGACUUCCCUGUGAAUCAACUACAGGGCUUACAGUGUCAUCUCCAGCAAACACCCACAGUGCACGGGGGGUACAGGGGGGGAGAAGGACUGAGCUCAGCAUUAAGUGUGUAGUGCUAGGGUAGACUUAGGGACACAAAUCAACAAGAAACUGCAUUUCACUAAAUGUUUUAUAAAACAGCUUGUCAAACAUUGCUAACAUGAGCAGAGCUUGUCUGGCGCUAAAGCAUCAGUGCGACAUCUCCUCGAAGUGGCCAAGGUUACUUAAAGCCAAAAUAUAAUCUUUUGCACUAGUGCUGUCAUACCCAUUAAGUGCCAAAUUUAGUUCCUCCUAAAAGUUCAGUGAUGCCUGGCUAGUUAGAGCACAGGAAAAUGUUGCCGAGGCUCUUAAAUUAGGCAAAUAACAACUGAUACACUAGGCAUGUAAAGCAAUGGGAGAUCAAUGCAUUGAGUUAACAGAAAGUUUUUAUGUAGCAUGUGCACAGGCACUUGCUGGAUACUAUCAGUUGAAAGGCUUCUUAAGUGAAAUUGAAGUCUAAAUCAUCCAGUGUCUCCAGGAAGAGGCCUAUAUAUAUUUCAGAUGCAAGAGUGAGAGAUUGCAUCAGCAGAUUUAUAUAUAUCAAUUUGCUUUUAAUUAAACUUUUUGCUUGGCUCUGGAGUCUGCGGCAUUUAUUGCAGCUAGGGAAUUGUGGUUUACUACAGCCCCUUGUUGAGAUUAAGCAUGCUAUAGAGCCAGAAAGAGUGUUUACAGGCCCUCGUUAUUGAUUCAUGGGUAUGUUCUGCUUGUAGCUAUGAAGUAGAAAACUAAAGCUAUAUUUAGGAUUUUUGGGGGUUUUCCACAUAUAGAAUCUGGAUUUAGAUUUGCCACCAAAAGAAGAAUGACCUGUUUUCAGAGUUUAGAGCUGAUCAGUAAUUUCUGUUAUUUCUUUUUCAGCAGUGUGGUCUAUAUUUGAGUUUUUGGUUGCACAGGAAAAAAGAGGCUGUGUUCACCUGUAACCAUUAAGCGUGAAGUGACAAGUGUAAAAGGUUCAGUUCCCUCAGCUACUGUUUGAGAGUCAUUCAGCAUCUGACAGCUGUUACAACAUAUCCUAGCCAUGCUAAAUAAAAACUUCAGGUUUUGUGCCCUUAAACUUGCAGUAAGUCUUGGUAUAUAGGCAUACAGUAUUAUCCCUGUCCUACAGAUAAAGACACCAUGUGUCCCUUUCUAUGAUGGUGCAGCAUUUUGACCUUUCUUUAUUUAAAUAUGCAUAACACAGCCCAGCAAGAAGUGCAAUAUAGUUUAAGCUAUGACUUUAUACUUUCAUUCUAUUGUAAAUAGAGUUAUAUGUCCCACUGGAAUGGUCAUAAUUGAGCACACAAAUCAAGUGCGAGGGCAAGAGACUCCUGACAGGAGGAACAGAAUCUGAGGAACAUCUUCAUGACUCCUGCAUAAGCCAAAUUCAUUAUAUGAUAAAAGUAGUGAAACGUAAUGCAAAAAUUACUAACUAGCAAACUAAUUACCCCUAGCAAAGUCUGCUAUCAACUCAAGACUGCUUUCAGUUGGGUGUCUAUCCCUGGCUAAAGUGGGGGGAUCCACACAAAUACAGGAGCUUUGAUUUAUCUUAAAUAAUAAAUUUAGAUAAAUAAAUUUAUCUUGAUUUGUUUAUCUCCACAAUGGUCUUUUCAAGUCAAGUCACUACUGCAAAGCAAGCACAUUAAAGAGAAAACCUUCUAAAUGAAAGCAAGUUUAGUAUUGUGGCAGCUUCUGGCCAAAACUGUUUCAAGCCAGUGCUCCUAGCACAAGAAAAGCCUUUCACAACUUUUAAAAUUAAGUAAAAAAGUCCCUUCAUAAAAUUAGACUCUGUUCUUCCAAGGAUAUCCAUCCUUAGGUGAGUCAGGAGUGCUAACAUCUGCUGUGGUCACCCACAUAUGCUUCUCACUCUUACUGCUCUGUGAGCUGCCAAAGGGCACCAUGGUACACUCAACAGAAAAGAUCUCCACUGGUUAACCACAGCAGCUUGGGAAACAGCAUCUCUUUUUGAUCAUUUUGAAUCUGCCACUCCCUAGGUCUCUUACUGCAUGAGGCAGGACACAGUUGUUCCCUGCUCACCUUUCUGAUGAGGUAAGUCAUCAAAACAACAUUAAAAAAAAAAAAAUGGAGGUAGCAUGUUCAUAUUGUAUGAGGUCUUGCCAUAUGUCAUUAUGUCACGUUAUCAGUGAUACAGCUUAUUCAAAAUAUACAAGAACUGAUUGAUUUAGAUGUUACACUUAAACAUGUGCUGUAGUGUUAAUGUUUCCAAAAGACACUGGUUUUGAUGUCAUGAUAAACAGCAUAUGCAGUGAGAACAUAAGUAUGAGAUAUUCAGUAAUCAGUUGAAAAACAGCUGGGGAACACGAGGAUCCCAAGGCCAGUGGGACGGCAUGCAGCUCCCCUUCUGGCAAAGCUACAUCACUCACCCUUCUUUGGAUGCCAUUCUGGAGGAAACCACGUAUCUCAGGAGAAGACCCACAGCUGCAGCCUUCUAGGGCAAAGCCCCAGGCUUUGAGGAACUACACCUGAGGAAGAAACAGCUGCAGUGGUGGGUAACCGAGCAGUGUAACAAACCUCCUGCAAAUCUUUUCCAAUAACUGGUUUAUUUGUCUU